rnacentral:misc_RNA from 1 species
CACAUGUGACAGGUGCGAUCGUCUCAUGAAAACCUGACGCCACAUGCACACGUAUAUAUAGCAAGAAUGACUGCAAGGCCUUCGCAAGCCUGCUAGAAUGCUGCCGGCGUCCACGAUGUUAGCGCUGUUUGUGGCGCCCCUGGUGGUGGUGCUGGCUUCUGCAGUCACCGUCGACCUGACCGCGAUGCAGUUCGUGGGAAUUGGCUACAACCUGUUGAAGGCCAACCCCGAGGGGGAGGACACGGUGCCGCGAGGGGGGAUAGACCCGGGCCUUCUUCUGACCAGGAACAUCUUGAAACUGACCGGGAAGGAUCCACCGGAAGCCGAAUUCGUUCAAGGACGUAAUGUCAACGCGUCGGAGGAACAUAUCUACUAUGGCCAGAAGUCCUACCAAUCCAUGCUGUCGCGCCGAGUAGACACUUCCUUUGGUGGCGCAAUAGGCAAGUUCCUCGCAGGCUUCUCCUUCAGCAUGAGCGCAAGCUCACAGCACGCCACGGCGGAGACCAAUGUGCAGAAGAACGUGUUUUACCAGAAGCAGUCGGUGUGCAACAUGGGCCAGGUGCGCUAUCUGGACGAGCUGGCGCAGACACACAACUUCUCAGUGACGGAGAACUUCGCGGCCGCUGUGUGUGCCCUGCCCGACACCUACAACGCCGCUGUAUACAUGAAAUUUCUUGACACCUGGGGCACGCAUGUGAUAACCAAGACUGACAUCGGGUACCGAACCAUCACCCGGUACAAGAGUACCCUUUCAAACUUCGUUCAACACGUCAUGAAGCAGUCCGCGUCAUCCAUCACCUUUGGGGGCCACUACAAUCAGUACAGCGCUUCUAUCGGUGUCGACUUCGACAAGUUCUGGCUAAGUGACAAUUCCAGCACACAGUUCGGCAGCUUACAGUACACCUUUAACAUCGGGACCUCUGCGAGCCCAGAACCUUUGUGGUUUGAAGUGCGACCGAUGGACUUUGCCUUGACCGCCGACUACUGGAAGGUCUACUCAUCCUGUGGCGGCAACACCCAGCUCUCUCUCACCAAGAAGAAAACCGCCCUCCUCACAGCACUUAACGCUUACCCUACUCUCAAGAAGCAACAGAUAGGCAAAGAUAUCGACCUGAGAAUACCGCUGAUUUGGCCCCUGGGGACAUACGGCUUGAUGCAGCCCAAGACUGGCUGCCCCACCGGUGGAGCAUCAUGGGCCGAGGGCUGGAACUAUGAAGACUUGGAAAACACCUUAACCUUAAACCACGCCUCCUCCGGCAUACACCUCAGAGGAAGCUUUCCUGACAAAGGGAAUUUCAAGUACUACUUCUGUAUGAAGGGCAAGCCGAAGGUCAGUGACUGGGACAUGGACUGGCCAUCCGGGGACUACUGCAUUCUCAAGUAUGGGAACUGUCCUUCAGGUAGAUAUACUGCAUUCUCAAGUAUGGGAUCUGUCCUUCAGGUUUCAAAGAUGGCUACAUCCAGCUUGACGACAAUGACGUUCCCAACAUAAACAAACAUGGCGGCACACUGCCCGAUGGCAGUUUUGGCAAGAACACGCGGAUCGACUUUUGUUGCAGAGACGACGCGUUGCCAACCAACCCGAUGUACUUGCCCACAGAGAAGCCCUUCUUCCUGUUUCUGUACAACCGGGAAUGCCAGAAGGUGCAGGGCAUGACGCUCAGGCAGGAGUUCCUCAUCUACGACACCGAGGACACC